UGGGGAAUAUUGCACAAUGGGCGCAAGCCUGAUGCAGCCAUGCCGCGUGUGUGAAGAAGGCCUUCGGGUUGUAAAGCACUUUCAGCGAGGAGGAAGGGUAGUGUGUUAAUAGCACAUUGCAUUGACGUUACUCGCAGAAGAAGCACCGGCUAACUCCGUGCCAGCAGCCGCGGUAAUACGGAGGGUGCAAGCGUUAAUCGGAAUUACUGGGCGUAAAGCGCACGCAGGCGGUUUGUUAAGUCAGAUGUGAAAUCCCCGCGCUUAACGUGGGAACUGCAUUUGAAACUGGCAAGCUAGAGUCUUGUAGAGGAGGGUAGAAUUCCAGGUGUAGCGGUGAAAUGCGUAGAGAUCUGGAGGAAUACCGGUGGCGAAGGCGGCCCCCUGGACAAAGACUGACGCUCAGGUGCGAAAGCGUGGGGAGCAAACA
rnacentral:rRNA from 1 species